UGUAGCUAGGUUUGUGGUUGAAAGUCGAUGCCAGUCGCAGGCGAAACGAUCCACGUAAGUUAAACAAAGUUUUAAUGAGCAUGGUGCGGCUUAGAAGUAAGACCUACCAGCCAAUAAAGGCUGAGAGGGUUAGUAGUGAGAGGUUAACUCCGGGUAGCGAAAGCUCCAGUAGGCGAGUGUGGGGUCAAAGACCAGGUCAACUAGCUAUA
rfam:Clostridium perfringens str. 13 DNA, complete genome.